UACUUUAAUAGUGUAAUUUUAUUAAGCAUACUUUAUUUUGAUUAAAGAGGUCUAUUUGGUUAAAGUG
rnacentral:tRNA from 1 species